rfam:Steinernema glaseri strain NC unplaced genomic scaffold GLAS_6795, whole genome shotgun sequence.
CACAGUGGUCCGGAGUCGGCGGGUUAUCAAAGCACAUUGAACUCCACCCCGUUGGCAUCACUUGACCAUUGU